UUUUAGGUUUACAGGAGAGUUGCAGAAAUAGUAGAGAGAUUUCCCACAUAUCUUUCAUCCAGCUUACAUAACCAUGGUACAUUUAUCAAAACACAGAAAUUAACAUUGGUAUAAUACUAUUAACCAAACUACAGACAUUAUUUGAAUUUUACCAGUUUUUCCACUAAUAUCUUUUUUCUUUUCCAGGGCUAAGUCCAGGAUAGUACAUUGCAUUUAGAGCUGUAUCAUUGCUUUAAAAUUCUUCACAGAUUCACAAUCCCUCAUUGCCUGCCCUGGGGGCUGACCACUCCCAGCUCCCCUACUCCACCUGCCUUGGUAUACCCCUGAUUCCACUAAACUUUUGUGGUAUUGGGGGUAAGAAGAUCUAAUGGCUUCAAGUUAGCAAUGGUGUGUUAAAAUUUUUUUUUUUAAUAAAAACAAAAUAAAAGAAGAUCUAAUGGUUGUGAAGUCUCAUCCUUUGGUGAAAGGUGCUGUUGAGCCUGAUACAAUUUUGAGAAAGGUCAGCCUUGAAGUUAAAUGAGGUUUAGUCCAAUCUAGGCAUUA
rnacentral:lncRNA from 10 species